CAGAAAAAUGGCAAUUUUGUGUACUCUGGUUUCAUUCAGAGGAAUUCUCCCUUAAGAGCUGCACAUGUUCAUUCCCAUAGAUUGGCAUUUGGGGGGGAGGGGGCUAGAAUAUCCUAAGGAACAAAUACAUGAGGAACAAACAGUUUUGAUGCUGGCUUAUAUCAGGGGAUGUAUAGGAAUCUGGAUCAGCAGAUUGAAGACGGUUAAAAAAAGACAGGCUGAAAUUGCAGGUUUCUUCUGCAUUUGAUUGUGAUGGUGGAAGACGUAUCUUUAGCAAAAACAGUGUUAUUUAGUCCCAUUGUCCGGUGUUAGACUGAGAAAGUCUUUGAUAGAACACCCAUCACUGUGAGCUCCAACCAUUACCAACGUACAAGCUGAAGAAAGCAUGGCGUUGCCAGCCCGAAAGAGCAGUAAUUAUAGGGUGUGUCAUCAAUCACAGUCGCCAACGGAGCAAUUUCACGGGUUGUAGAGGUUACUCCCCUCCUGCCGCUGUGGGUAACCCUGGGAGACAGCCUUGAGAGAGAUAAGCGUGGAAUGUGCAUCUGUCUUUGGCUGCUGUGCCAUUUCGCCAGUUUUCCAUUCCCCCCUGGCCUAUGGCAACUCGAGAACAAGCCAGGAAUGCUUUGCGAGUUGACAUGUUGAUUCGUACUGUGGCAAGCUCUCCCAUGGCGAAUUGAAUGUGCCCCAGAACCAACCACCGACUUCGACUCCAGAAACAGCACAAUCCAGUUUGACCGAUUGUCCUGGUGUCUUCAUUUUAAACAGGGACUGGGACAGCUGCACAUCGGGGAAAACACCUGGUAAAAUAAAAGAAAGAACUGGUGGGCCGCCCAUGAAGGUUGUUCCUUAAGAGGAAAUGCUUCAUCUCGGUGAUUUACAUAAAGACCAUGUCAUCCAACACGCUAUUUAAGGAGGAAAAGAAGCUGAGAAGAAUCUCCACAUGUGCCAUAGGUUUGCCAUCACGGGUCUAGGACAACUCACUGCAGCCAGCUAUCCACAGCCAACUGUCUGCGGCCAACUUGCCAUGCCAACUUACCAUAGCCAACACUCUGUGGUCAAUUCCCCCCAGCCAAUCUCCACGGCCAACUCACCAUGGCCAACUCUCCAUGGCCAACACACACCUUGGCCAACUCUCCACAGCCAACUCACCAUGGCCAACUCUCCACAGCCAACACACACCAUGGCUACCUCUCCACAGCCACUCACCAUGGCCAACUCUCCAUGGCCAACACACACCAUGGCCAACUCUCCAAGGCCAACACACCAUGGCCAACUCUCCAUGGCCAACACACACCAUGGCCAACUUGUUACAGCCAACUCACUGUAGCCAACUCACAGUGGGAUAACUCACCAUGGGACAAGAGUUAUAGUAAUAUCAAAGAAAUGGUGGAAUAGAAUCAUUAAAGAAAGGGAUGUAAAAGGAAGGGACACAGUUAAAUGUGAAUGAUAAAAAUACUUUUAAAAUUAUCUUAAAUAAUUAAAUUGAAUUGUUGAAUUGUCCGAUGGUGAGCUAGCCCUAGCAAGUUGGUCAAUGGUGAGUUGGCCAUGGUGAGUUGGCCUAUUCUGCCAUUUGAUAUAGUCCUUGGGCAUAGAAGAAAGUUGGUGUUAAUUGCUUCUCCCUCCCCUUCUCUAUCCAACUCAAUUUUCUGGUCAGUUUUUCCUGAAGGGUUCUUUGUUUUUGUUUUUGUAGAUUUGUUCAUUUGGUCAUCAUUUCUUUCUUCUUUAUUACCUCUCCUUUAGUACCCUUUGGAAAGAUAUUUGAAAACUAUUUGAGGGAAGCGGAGUAGAAACAUUUUAUAACAAAUGAGAACUCGGUGGAGACAGAAUUUUGCAGAUGGCUGACUCCGUGUGGUUUUGAACUGAUGGGCCGCCCACGAAGGUUGUUCCUUAAGAGGAAAUGUUUCAUCUCGGCGAUUUACAUAAAGAAGACGUCGUCCAGCACACUAUUUAAGGAGGAAAGGAAGCCGAGAAGAAGCUCCACAAAAUGUUGGACUGCAACCUGUGUGUGUUUGUGUGUUUUGUUCGGUUCUGCAACCCAACAAGAAAAACACAGACUUCAGAGGAUAAUUAGAACUGCAGAAAAAAUAAUUGCUACCAACCUGCCUUCCAUUGAGGACCUGUAUACUGCACGAAUCAAGAAGAGGGCCGUGAAAAUAUUUAAGAUCCCUCACAUCUUGGACAUAAACUGUUUCAACUCCUACCCUCAAAACGACGCUAUAGAGCACUGCACACCAGAACAACUAGACACAAGAACAGUUUUUUCCCAAAGGCCAUCACUCUGCUAAACAAAUAAUUCCCUCCACACUGUCAGACUAUUUACUGAAUCUGCACUACUAUUAAUCUUCUCAUAGUUCCCAUCACCCAUCUCUUUCCACUUAUGACUGUAUGACUAUAACUUGUUGCUGGCAAUCCUUAUGAUUUAUAUUGAUAUAUUGACCAUCAAUUGUGUUGUAAAUGUUGUACCUUGAUGAACGUAUCUUUUCUUUUAUGUACACUGAGAGCAUAUGCACCAAGACAAAUUCCUUGUGUGUCCAAUCACACUUGGCCAAUAAAAUUUUAUUCUAUUCUAUUCUAUAGUGCUUGGUAUGUCAUUGGUGAGAGCUGAACCAUGAAAAAAAUAAUUAAACCUUUUUAAUGUCGAGAAACGAUUUGAAUCUCUGACUUAAGUGCCUAAUAAGCUGCUAUGUGUUAUUUUGAAAAUAAAAAUAUAUAGUGUGAUAUAGUUUAUAUUUAGUUUUUGACUUCCUUUUGUUGUAACGAGAAGUCCUCAUUUUGCAGAAGUUCAUUUAGUGCCCAUUCAAAGUUAGAACAGCACUGAACAAAGGGACUUAUGACUGUUUUUCACACUUAUUACAGCAUUACAGCAUCUCCCAUGGUCACGUGAUCAGAAUUCAGAUGCUUGGUAACUCAUAUUUAUGACGGUUGCAAUAUCCCGGGGUCAUAUGAUCACCUUUAAUGACCUACUGAGAAGCAAAGGCGAUUGGGAAGCCAGAUUCACAACGACUGUGUUACUAACUUAACAAUUGCAGUGAUUCACUUAACAACCAUGCCAAGAAAGGUUGCAAAAUGGGGCAAAACUCACUUAACACAUGUUUCACUUAGCAACACAAAUUUUGGGUUCAGUUGUGGUCGCAGGUCAAGGAUUACUUAUAGUUUGAUUAUAUACAGUCUGGCAAUCCUUAUGAUUUAUAUUGAUAUAUUGACCAUCAAUUGUGUUGUAAAUGUUGUACCUUGAUGAACGUAUCUUUUCUUUUAUGUACA